UUUUUGUGACUACAUUUUUUUUUACUGAAUCAAGAGAGAAUCAAAGUUAUAUAAUGAUUUGUGUACGUUUAUAUAACAAAAAACACUACUUUACAAUAUGUCUAUUGUUACAGAGUUUGGCUGAUGUAAUAAUCUUAACGUAUUACGUAAAAAUUACGAUCCAACACAAACAUACUAUUUCUGCGCCCCAUUUGUAAUUUUGGUGUAAAUAUAACAGAAAUCAAAUAUUGACCUUCAAGAAACGUGAACUCUUAUUGAUCUUAGUCACACAUCUUGUACAAAGACUUAGACAUAGUUAUAAGCAGCAGUGACGAAGGUUGAAGUUUUCCCAAAAGUAGCCCGAUACAACACAGCACACGCGUCGGUACAACGGGUUUGGAGUGGCGUUGGAGGCUAUUUUUAGCCGGCGCUUGUCAAUAAACGCUCGUCGUUUUAUCGCGGAAGGGCACCGCAGCCGGAUGGGGAUCAAGGAAACGGUUUUGAGUGCGAACACGAUGAGAGGCGGAGCGGUGCGGUAGCGAGAGCAAUUAGUAUUGAUUUUUAUUUAAUUAGUAUCUAAUUAUUGCUGAGGUUUAUAGUUUAAAUUUAACUCUAAAUAUCAAUUUAUUUGAGUGCAGGAGAGGAAUUCUUCUGAUUUAUUAGAAGUUAAUGAGACAAUACUAACAUGUAACGUUAAAUAGCUUAACAAGUAAGGGUCUUAAAACACAAGUUAAUGUUGUCUAUUUGCGGUCGAUGUUUCUAUCCAGCGAAUAAAUGUUUGUAAAUAUA